rnacentral:rRNA from 1 species
CCUACGGGGGGCAGCAGUAGGGAAUUUUCGGCAAUGGGGGAAACCCUGACCGAGCAACGCCGCGUGAGUGAUGACGGCCUUCGGGUUGUAAAGCUCUGUUGUAAGGGAAGAACGGUAGAUAGAGAAUAUCUAAGUGACGGUACCUUACCAGAAAGCCACGGCUAACUACGUGCCAGCAGCCGCGGUAAUACGUAGGUGGCGAGCGUUAUCCGGAAUUAUUGGGCGUAAAGGGUGCGUAGGCGGCCUGUUAAGUAAGUGGUUAAAUUGUUGGGCUCAACCCAAUCCAGCCACUUAAACUGGCAGGCUAGAGUAUUGGAGAGGCAAGUGGAAUUCCAUGUGUAGCGGUAAAAUGCGUAGAUAUAUGGAGGAACACCAGUGGCGAAGGCGGCUUGCUAGCCAAAGACUGACGCUCAUGCACGAAAGCGUGGGGAGCAAAUAGGAUUAGAUACCCGGGUAGUC